UACGAAGGGGGCUAGCGUUGCUCGGAAUCACUGGGCGUAAAGCGCACGUAGGCGGAUUGCUAAGUCAGGGGUGAAAUCCUGGAGCUCAACUCCAGAACUGCCUUUGAUACUGGCGAUCUCGAGUUCGGGAGAGGUGAGUGGAACUGCGAGUGUAGAGGUGAAAAUUCGUAGAUAUUCGCAAGGAACACCAGUGGCGAAGGCGGCUCACUGGCCCGAUAACUGACGCUGAGGCACGGAAAGCGUGGGGAGCAACAGG
rnacentral:rRNA from 1 species